GACGAACGCUGGCGGCGUGCCUAAUACAUGCAAGUAGAACGCUGAAGGCGGAGCUUGCUCUUCUGGAUGAGUUGCGAACGGGUGAGUAACGCGUAGGUAACCUGCCUGGUAGCGGGGGAUAACUAUUGGAAACGAUAGCUAAUACCGCAUAAGAGUAGAUGUUGCAUGACAUUUACUUAAAAGGUGCAAUUGCAUCACUACCAGAUGGACCUGCGUUGUAUUAGCUAGUUGGUGGGGUAACGGCUUACCAAGGCGACGAUACAUAGCCGACCUGAGAGGGUGAUCGGCCACACUGGGACUGAGACACGGCCCAGACUCCUACAGGAGGCAGCAGUAGGGAAUCUGCGGCAAUGGACGGAAGUCUGACCGAGCAACGCCGCGUGAGUGAAGAAGGUUUUCGGAUCGUAAAGCUCGGUUGUAAGAGAAGAACGAGUGUGAGAGUGGAAAGUUCACACUGUGACGGUAACUGACCAGAAAGGGACGGCUAACUACGUG
rnacentral:rRNA from 1 species